rnacentral:rRNA from 1 species
ACCAGACUCCUACGGGAGGCAGCAGUGGGGAAUAUUGCACAAUGGGGGAAACCCUGAUGCAGCGACGCCGCGUGAGCGAUGAAGUAUUUCGGUAUGUAAAGCUCUAUCAGCAGGGAAGAAAAUGACGGUACCUGACUAAGAAGCCCCGGCUAACUACGUGCCAGCAGCCGCGGUAAUACGUAGGGGGCGAGCGUUAUCCGGAUUUACUGGGUGUAAAGGGAGCGCAGGCGGCGUGGCAAGUCAGAUGUGAAAACCCGGGGCCCAACCCCGGGACUGCAUUUGAAACUGCCAUGCUGGAGUGCCGGAGAGGCAAGUGGAAUUCCUAGUGUAGCGGUGAAAUGCGUAGAUAUUAGGAGGAACACCAGUGGCGGAGGCGGCUUGCUGGGUCGAUACUGACAUUGAGGCACGAAAGCGUGGGGAGCAAACAGGAUUAGAUACCCUUGUA